UUUUAUGCUAAUAUUCAUGAGGUGGAUGGGUCGUCGUUUAGGAGUUUUCUUAGAGGUCAUUCUUUUCGAGUUACUCCGUCUGCAGUAGCUCUUGCGUUAGGUAUACCUCAGAUUCGUCAUCCGAUGUAUCCCUAUCUUCUCCCUGCUUCUUUUCCGAUCGAUGCCCUUGUUCGGUCGACUCUUGUGAACACCCCGUCUACUGGAGGGCCUACGACUAUGGCCACGGGUUCAUUACCCACUGAUCGACAGGUUUUGUUGCGCAUCGUGUGCACAAACUUGUGGCCUGUUGUCCAUACUUCUUCUUUACCGAUGGUACGGGUUCGUUUUCUAUAUGCCCUACUUCAUGGAGACUCUAUCGACCUUCCUACUUUUGUGUGCCAGCAAAUUCUUGCUUCUUUUCGUACUCUUGGGGGUCGUUUAGGGUUACCUUACGCCUGUUUGAUUCAUC
rnacentral:lncRNA from 1 species